UCACCCAGCUGUUAUGCCGCUUCUGCCUGCAAGAUGAGAAAGACACCUCCCCUCCCCAGGAGAGUCUCCGAGUCUGGGCCUUGCCACUCCUCACUCAGCAUCUGACCAUCCCCACCUCCUGGAUCUACAGGGUUCAUAGAGGAGGACCCAGAAGAGGGAAAGUCAGGCUGAGGAACAUGGCCUCCCUGCUGCAAGGGAAAUGACAUCGGUUACCAAGGAGGUGACCUGCUAUCCUUUUCCAAGACUGAAAAGCAGAAAUAUGGCCUGAGCCUAGAGGGUCUAAGAGAACAAUAGGAAGAAUUUCCUGACAAAGGACAAUGUUGCCUAAAGGACCCAUGAAGCUCCGUGAAAAUAGGAGACUCCUGAGCACCAGACCCUUCUCCACCAGGCAGUGUUUUUCCCAUAUGACAGGUGAGAAAACUGAGGCUGAGAGACAUGUAAUAACUUGCUGAAGCAGUAACCAGCACGCCAUAUAGCUGAAAUCUGUAGAUCAGCAGUUAAAAGUGGCAGGGCAAGUCCUCUCUGACUUUCAGCUCUAAGAGCCUAGGAUUGUGUGUUUUUCUGCUUAAGCCUGGGAAUCAGAGUCCUACAAAAGCCGCGCCUAAUCCUGGGGGUGUGGGCUUUAAGCCUAGAGAGAAAGCAUGUUAUUGGAAUACUCAUGCACUUUUCUCCCUUUGAAUCCCACC
rnacentral:lncRNA from 1 species